CUAGCUCGCACAAUCGACUUCUGAUGGCGGAUCUGAUUUGAUCUCCUUCUUCAAUCAUCUCGAAUCUUUUUGAUAUCAAAAAUGGACUAGAGGAGGAUGCUGGAUGGUGGAGGAAAAAUAGAUGAAGAUACUCUUCUCUUUAGUUUUUCCUUAUCCAGAAACCUUAGAACAGUUCUAGGUCUCUCACCCUAGAGGAGAUCGGUCUCUUCCUUUGUUCAUGCCAAAGAAGAUAGAAGCUCAUCCAAACCUCACACCCCAAGAAAGGUAUUCAGCCCCUCUUUCUCUCUGGUAUCUCACGGUGAAAGUCUCAGAUUGGUUGGCACACAAAAAUGUAGGCUUUUUAUGGUUAUCGCACACAUGAGAUUAGAAGGAUAAGGACUGGAGUUUGUUGCAAUUCAAAUCAUCUUGAAUUUCAAUUUAACUCUAAUUUUUUUUUCAUUUUUAUCUAACUUAAAGAGAGACCUACCAGAGGAU
rnacentral:lncRNA from 1 species